rnacentral:rRNA from 1 species
AACGAACGCUGGCGGCGUGCCUAACACAUGCAAGUCGUGCGAGAAAGUUCCUUCGGGAGCGAGUAAAGCGGCGCACGGGUGAGUAACACGUAGGUAACCUGCCCCCCCAGUCUGGAACAACUAGAGGAAACUCUAGCUAAUGCCGGAUGAGACCACGAUCCCCUUCGGGGGGUUGCGGCCAAAGAUGGCCUCUACUUGUAAGCUAUCGCUGAGGGAUGGGGCCUGCGGGCCAUUAGCUUUGUGGUGAGGUAACGGCUCACCAAGGCUGUGAUGGCUAGCUGGUCUGAGAGGAUGACCAGCCACA